CAUCUGCUCUAGCAUGAGUUCCUCCGUGGGCUGCAGAUUUUUUAAUUGGUCAGAACUCCACAGAAUCUGCUCCAACUGAUGCCAAUGGCAGAAUGCCUCUUGAUGCUCAUGGGAGCUGCACUGGACCAGCCUUGUAUCCUUUCCACAUGCUUACUGUUUUUCAGGUUUCCCUGGCCAAAUAUGAUGCAUCACUCUGCACAUCUUAAUUCUGUUGGUAAAAAAACCUUUUACCCAUGAGUUUGAAGAACUUUGCAAGUCUGCAUAAAUAUAUUCAUGAAAGUUUGACUGCAGAUUAUAUAAAGAUUCCUCCAUUUUGACACAAAUCAAAUUAAUCCUCUUUGAAUCUUCACUGAAAUGAUGAUGCUAGGCUAAAUAAAUCUCUUUGAAUUCUCAUUAA